UACGUAGGGUGCGAGCGUUAAUCGGAAUUACUGGGCGUAAAGCGCACGUAGGCGGAUUUGUUAGUCAGGGGUGAAAUCCCGAGGCUCAACCUCGGAACUGCCUUUGAUACUGCAAAUCUAGAGUCCGGAAGAGGAGAGUGGAAUUCCUGGUGUAGCGGUGAAAUGCGCAGAUAUCAGGAGGAACACCCGUGGCGAAAGCGGCUCUCUGGGACGGUACUGACGCUGAGACACGAAAGCCAGGGGAGCGAACGGG
rnacentral:rRNA from 1 species